UCCGUAGGUGAACCUGCGGAGGGAUCAUUACUGAGUACUACACUCUCUACCCUUUGUGAACUAUUAUACCUGUUGCUUCGGCGGCGCCCGCGAGGGUGCCCGCCGGUCUCAUCAGAAUCUCUGUUUUCGAACCCGACGAUACUUCUGAGUGUUCUUAGCGAACUGUCAAAACUUUUAACAACGGAUCUCUUGGCUCCAGCAUCGAUGAAGAACGCAGCGAAACGCGAUAUGUAAUGUGAAUUGCAGAAUUCAGUGAAUCAUCGAAUCUUUGAACGCACAUGGCGCCUUCCAGUAUCCUGGGAGGCAUGCCUGUCCGAGCGUCGUUUCAACCCUCGAGCCCCCGUGGCCCGGCGUUGGGGAUCUGCCACGGCAGGCCCCUAAAACCAGUGGCGGACCCGAAGGGCCCUCUCCUUUGCGCAGUAGCAUUCGCCUCGCAUCGGGAGUCCUCGGCGUCCUGCCUCUAAACCCCCCAACAAGCCCGCUCCGGCGGCACCAAGGUUGACCUCGGAUCAGGUAGGAAUACCCGCUGAACUUAAGCAUAUCAAUAAGCGGAGGA
rnacentral:rRNA from 1 species